CGCUCCUGAGACUUCGGAGAAUUAAUUCGAGCAUGUCCUAUCCUAACGAGAGCGUGGAGCGACGAGAACGCAGAUCUCCGGAAGAUUCCCCCGACAGGUGGCGAUCAUGGUGGGACUGCCGAGAUUGGCUUACGUCGGUUCGAAGGUGGGACGAUCUAUUACAAGGACGUUCUCGACAAACAGAAUACUAAAGAGCCAAGAGAAGUACGUGGACACGAAGCAGAGUAACGGGGUGAGAACCAUAACACUGAAUCAUGCAGGGAGUCGGAACUCCCUGUCGCUGGAGAUGAUGAAAAUUCUGCUGUAUAAUAUUACGAGGGAUCAGAAUAAUCAAGAGCUCCGAUCCAUCGUCAUAGAUGCCGCUCCAGGGAAAGUAUUUUCAGCUGGGCACAAUCUAAAAGAGUUGACGGCUGAGUAUGGCAAGGAUCAUCAUCAGGAAGUGUUCUCGACGUGUGAAGAGUUGAUGCGUUGCAUCGUACAAUGCCCUGUUCCUGUAGUUGCUGCGGUCGAUGGUCUAGCGGCUGCAGCCGGUUGUCAAUUGGUUGCAGCAUGUGAUGUGGCUGUUUGCAGCGAGAGGAGCAGCUUCUCGACACCGGGGGCUAAUUUCGGAAUCUUCUGCUCGACGCCUGGAGUGCCACUUGUACGUAACGUACCGAAAAAAGUCGCCGCGUGGAUGCUCUUCACGGGACUGCCAAUUUCGGCACGAGAAGCUCAUCAAGCAGGUCUCGUGAGCAAAGUAGUGACAAACGGGGAACUCGAGGAAGAAGUGCAGGGAAUUACUGCGGCAAUAAACGCAAAAAGCCGAUCCGUAAUAAGCUUAGGUAAACGAUUCUUCUACGAGCAAUUGGACCUCGACGCGUUAACGGCGUACGCCCUGGGAACGGAGAUAAUGGUCGGGAAUUUACAAUUGUGGGACGCACAAGAAGGGAUUAGAAGCUUCAUAGAAAAAAGACAGCCCGAGUGGUCACACACUUAUGAGAAAGAAGACUGAAUCGCUGUAUUAAUAUUGACUAUGUAAUACGUAUGCGGUGGUUGUUUUCAGAUUUUACUUACCGCCAUGGUCGUGACGCGGUACAGAUAGUAGAAGG